GAUGAACGCUGGCGGCGUGCCUAAUACAUGCAAGUCGAGCGAACAGACGAGGAUCUUGCUCCUCUGACGUUAGCGGCGGACGGGUGAGUAACACGUGGAUAACCUACCUAUAAGACUGGGAUAACUUCGGGAAACCGGAGCUAAUACCGGAUAAUAUAUUGAACCGCAUGGUUCAAUAGUGAAAGACGGUUUUGCUGUCACUUAUAGAUGGAUCCGCGCCGCAUUAGCUAGUUGGUAAGGUAACGGCUUACCAAGGCAACGAUGCGUAGCCGACCUGAGAGGCAGAUCGGCCACACUGGAACUGAGACACGGUCCAGACUCCUACGGGAGGCAGCAGUAGGGAAUCUUCCGCAAUGGGCGAAAUCUUGACGGAGCAACGCCGCGUGAGUGAUGAAGGUCUUCGGGUCGUAAAACUCUGUUAUUAGGGAAGAACAAAUGUGUAAGUAACUAUGCACGUCUUGACGGUACCUAAUCAAAAAGCCACGGCUAACUACGUG
rnacentral:rRNA from 1 species